GACGAACCGAGCGAACGUUGUUCGGAAUCACUGGGCUUAAAGGGCGCGUAGGCGGGUGGUCAAGUCUGUGGUGAAAUCCUCCGGCUCAACCGGAGAACUGCCAUGGAUACUGGGUGUCUCGAGGGUGGUAGGGGUAUGCGGAACUAUCGGUGGAGCGGUGAAAUGCGUUGAUAUCGAUAGGAACUCCGGUGGCGAAGGCGGCAUACUGGACCACUUCUGACGCUGAGGCGCGAAAGCCAGGGGAGCAAACGGG
rnacentral:rRNA from 1 species